AUACUUACCUGGCGAAGAGGUUACCGUGAUCACGUAGGCGGUUCCCCCAGGAUGAGGCCUUUCCAUUCCACUACGGUCGGGCUGACUCCUGCGAAUGCCCCAAAUGUGGGUAUCACGGGCGCGUAUCUUAUCGAUUGUAUCAGCUAUUGCGUAAUUUAUU